rnacentral:rRNA from 1 species
GACGAACGCUGGCGGCGUGCUUAACACAUGCAAGUCGAACGGAAAGGCCCUGGUUUGGUGGUGUGCUCGAGUGGCGAACGGGUGAGUAACACGUGAGUAACCUGCCCGGGACUUGGGGAUAACUUCAGGAAACUAUGGCUAAUACCGGAUAGGAGUUCCUGCUGCAUGGUGUGGGUUGGAAAGGUUCGGUGGCUUGGGAUGGACUCGCGGCUUAUCAGCUUCUUGGUGGGGUAGUGGCUUACCAAGGCUUUGACGGGUAGCCGGCCUGAGAGGGUGACCGGCCCCAUUGGGCCUGAGAUAGGGCCCAGACUGCUACGGGAGGCAGCAGUGGGGAAUAGUGCACACAGGGCGGAAGCCUGAAACAGCAACGCCGCGUGCGGGAUGACGGCCUUCGGGUUGUAACCCGCUUUAGACUGUGACGAAGCGUGAGUGACGGUAAUGUAUAAAGAAGCAACGGCUAACUACGUG